rnacentral:tRNA from 1 species
UAAGACCUGCAGGACUCUAUCCAACAUCUUCUGAAUGCAACCCAGAUACUUUCAUUAAGCUAAGACCUU